CGAGAAAUAAAAUGGCAAAAUGAUUUCUGCUACUUCCUGCGAACUUCCUUUCCCCAUUCUUUGCUCGGAGAUUCCUCGUCAAACCCUAAACCCCCAAAUCCACCCGCGCGGAUCGUGAGGUAGGAGCUCGGGGAGCGCCGCGGGUGGCGGCAGGAGAACGGAGACGGACGGAGGAUACCCUCCGGGGUGGCGCGAAGCCCGGUAGUUCCCUCUGCCGGCGUCGUCGUCGGCCGAUGGCUACCGCCGCUAUGUGCGACGGCGAGGGGCAGCAGGGCCGACUGCGACGAGCUUCUGUUCCACGCAAUUCCACAAUGGAUUCGAUGGACUGACCAGGUAUGUGGAAAAAAAUUGGUACGACAUGCUCUAGACCUCCAUGCUUUUUUCUCUUUCUCUGGGAAAAUGGUUAUCUUGGUUGUGGAGAGAAAGGGGGAGAGAUAGGCAAAUUAUAUAUUCGGUUCUUACAUAGUUAAUUAUUUUGGCAUAUUUGUAUCUUAUUUUUGUUGAAAUUACGGUGUAUGCUUGACUGUAAAUUUUAUUACUUUCCUCGUCAUACUUGUCCUUAUGAACACCUGUUUUUGCCAAAUGUUCUAGUGAUUGUGAUGGCAUAUAGUUUGCUGUUCAAGCAAACCUCAAAUGUAUAAUAUCUAUAGAUGCUGUUGAAGAAUAUGGUGGUUUUGAAUCAAUGGCAGAUGUUUUGCCACAUUUCAUUGAUAUGCAACACCAACCCAAGAAAGGGUAAAAGCAUCUAAAAAAGAGAAGAAAAACGACGCGACAAGAUUGUUUCCUGUUUCUGACCGAACCAGAGAUGUCAUGGAGCCCAGGAAGUGGGGCAGCACCUGCCAGCUCUUGGAUGUUUUCAGAGUGAUUUUCAGCAGCAGCACCUUGCCAGCCAAAUCCAUGAACUGAUUUCUGUCUAUAUGAUUCCUGUAGAAAUGAAUGAAUUAUAUAUUUGGUAUCACAUUUUUGUUAGAUGUAUUCUACCAAAUGGUUGCUACCUUUUGAAAUCUCGUUACCUCCCAAGAACAGUAAAAACACAACCCCCUACUCCCCCCCUCCUCCACCACCACCACCAAUUUUUUUUCCUCAGGUUCAUAUGGCUUGACAGAAUAAAGGUCCAAUCAUAUAAAACAAAAAGUUAGAGUACACUAUAUGUGUAGAGAAUUGUAGCUAUUCCAGAAGAAGUUAUGUAUACUUACUUAGCUCUACUACAUUUCAUCUAUUUCAAUGGGUUUAAACAUCCUUCUCCCACUCCCGCGGAUGCUUCAUACUAUCCUCUUCCUUGCAUUUGAUCCCAACAUCAUCAUCAUCUUUUACCAUCUUCCAUGUCCAGUUUGUGUUGAUUUCAAUAUUGAUAUGGCUGCGAAGGUGAUUGGUUGCCUCCCUGAUGGCAGCCUCUUUAGCCUCCACCUCAUGAGCCUUUGCAUCUCUACAAUCUAUCAACACAAGGAGAUGCUUGAGAGAGGACAUCUGCUGGAUGCUGAGAAAAAAUUGUCUGCAUGGAUUUCUUGUUUCUCGUGCUUUUAAGUUAAAGCGAAACCUUUCAAGAUUUUGCAUUGCCCCAGCCUCAAAUACUAAUGGAUUCAUUUCAAUAUUGCAGGAGUAAAACACGAACUGUUUAAGAUAGAGAAACCCUCUGUUGCGGAUGAUGAGCUUUUCAUUGGGGGCUACUCCUUUUGUCCAUAUCCUGAGAGCUAGAAGAGAAGGUAAUUUGCCAAGGAUCUGAAAAGCUUCCUCCCCAACAUGACUAAUAUUGAUAUUCAGGAAGGUGACGCUAGAGAGCAUAGCCAUCCACUCUGGAAUUCUAGGAAAAUAAUAGUUUGAGCUCAUCCCAAAAUAUCGGAGGGGAUUAGGAGCAGUGAACCAAGAAUUCAACAAGAAAUCGAGAGACGAACCAUUUUCAGUACAGCAUUGAACAUGCAGGUACUGAAGCUUGAGUUUGCACAGUGUACUGAUGGAUGGAACAAAGUUAUCUAUGUGAGUUUUACCACCAGCAUACAUAUCAUUAACGCACCAAAUUAUCCCAAGAUACCUUAGUUCAGUCAAUCUUUGUAGUUCAUGCAAGGUAUUUGAUGAGAUGCUGUUGUCAACUUUCAUAUGAUAAAGUUUCUGUAAAGCCUUCAUGUUCCCUACUCCUGCUGGCAGACUUACUUCAUCGGCAAGUAAAAACAGCAACCUUUUCAACUUCACAAUACUCUUGGGUAAUUCCUUUAUCAUUGUCUGUGUCAGAUCUAUUGUCUCAAGUUGCUGUAGUUCCCCUAUUUGCUCUGGGAGUUUGCUGAUGCUUACUCUGUUCAACCUUAGGUAUUUAAGACAAAACAAUUUCUGUAUGCCAUUUAGGUGAUGGUUUUCUAAUUGAUCAUUGCAUUCAAUGCUAAUUGUACGAAGAGCUUGAAAGUCUGAAAUAGGCAGCACAUUUUCAGUGGAUCCAUAAGUA
rnacentral:lncRNA from 1 species